rnacentral:misc_RNA from 1 species
UCUCCGUUGGUGAACCAGCGGAGGGAUCAUUACAGAGUUGCAAAACUCCCAACCCUUUGUGAACGAACCUGACAGUUGCUUCGGCAGAAGGCCCUUCACUGGGCAGCCCGCCGGAGGGUCUCCAAACUCUGUUUCUAUAUGUAACUUCUGAGUAAAACCAUAAAUAAAUCAAAACUUUCAACAACGGAUCUCUUGGUUCUG